rnacentral:rRNA from 1 species
AGCGAACGCUGGCGGCAGGCCUAACACAUGCAAGUCGAACGAACCUUUCGGGGUUAGUGGCGGACGGGUGAGUAACACGUGGGAACGUGCCUUUAGGUUCGGAAUAACUCAGGGAAACUUGUGCUAAUACCGAAUGUGCCCUUCGGGGGAAAGAUUUAUCGCCUUUAGAGCGGCCCGCGUCUGAUUAGCUAGUUGGUUGAGGUAAUGGCUCACCAAGGCGACGAUCAGUAGCUGGUCUGAGAGGAUGAUCAGCCACAUUGGGACUGAGACACGGCCCAAACUCCUACGGGAGGCAGCAGUGGGGAAUCUUGCGCAAUGGGCGAAAGCCUGACGCAGCCAUGCCGCCUGAAUGAUGAAGGUCUUAGGAUUGUAAAAUUCUUUCACCGGGGACGAUAAUGACGGUACCCGGAGAAGAAGCCCCGGCUAACUUCGUG